AGUCGUAACAAGGUAUCCGUAGGUGAACCUGCGGAUGGAUCAUUAACAAAGGUGUUUUUGAAGUUGUGUGAACAGUUGGAGGAGGUGGUGGUGGUGGUGGUAUUGGGUGGUACUGGGUGGUACUGGGUGGUACUGGGUGGUAUUGGGUGGUAUUGGGUGGUAUUGAGUGGUGUAACCUUGGUCAACCUCACUCAACCUCACUCUCCCAACCUCACUCUCCCAACCUCCACCACUCCGUCCCUAUAAUGUAUACAAACUGAUGUCUGCUAGUUUCAAACUAAAACAACUUUUAGCAACGGAUCUCUUGGCUCUC
rnacentral:misc_RNA from 1 species